rnacentral:misc_RNA from 1 species
GAUGAAGAACGUAGCGAAAUGCGAUAAGUAAUGUGAAUUGCAGAAUUCAGUGAAUCAUCGAAUCUUUGAACGCACAUUGCGCCCGCCAGCACUCUGGCGGGCAUGCCUGUUCGAGCGUCAUUUCAACCAUCAAGCCCCCAGGGGCUUGUGCUGGGGCCCUGCGGCUGCCCGCAGGCCCUGAAAACCAGUGGCGGGCUCGCUAGUCACACCGAGCGCAGUAGCACAUCUCGCUCAGGGCGUGCGGCGGGCUCCUGCCGUGAAACCCCCCACUGUAACCCCAAAGGUUGACCUCGGAUCAGGUAGGAAUACCCGCUGAACUUAAGCAUAUCAAUAAGCGGAGGC